rnacentral:rRNA from 1 species
AGUGAACGCUGGCGGUAGGCCUAACACAUGCAAGUCGAACGGCAGCACAGUAAGAGCUUGCUCUUACGGGUGGCGAGUGGCGGACGGGUGAGGAAUACAUCGGAAUCUACUUUUUCGUGGGGGAUAACGUAGGGAAACUUACGCUAAUACCGCAUACGACCUACGGGUGAAAGCAGGGGAUCUUCGGACCUUGCGCGAUUGAAUGAGCCGAUGUCGGAUUAGCUAGUUGGCGGGGUAAAGGCCCACCAAGGCGACGAUCCGUAGCUGGUCUGAGAGGAUGAUCAGCCACACUGGAACUGAGACACGGUCCAGACUCCUACGGGAGGCAGCAGUGGGGAAUAUUGGACAAUGGGCGCAAGCCUGAUCCAGCCAUACCGCGUGUGUGAAGAAGGCCUUCGGGUUGUAAAGCCCUUUUGUUUGGAAAGAAAAGCAGCAGGUUAAUACCCCGCUGUUUUGACGGUACCCAAAGAAUAAGCACCGGCUAACUUCGUG